AGUGAACGCUGGCGGUAGGCCUAACACAUGCAAGUCGAACGGCAGCACAGUAAGAGCUUGCUCUUACGGGUGGCGAGUGGCGGACGGGUGAGGAAUACAUCGGAAUCUACUUUUUCGUGGGGGAUAACGUAGGGAAACUUACGCUAAUACCGCAUACGACCUACGGGUGAAAGCAGGGGAUCUUCGGACCUUGCGCGAUUGAAUGAGCCGAUGUCGGAUUAGCUAGUUGGCGGGGUAAAGGCCCACCAAGGCGACGAUCCGUAGCUGGUCUGAGAGGAUGAUCAGCCACACGGGAACUGAGACACGGUCCAGACUCCUACGGGAGGCAGCAGUGGGGAAUAUUGGACAAUGGGCGCAAGCCUGAUCCAACCAUACCGCGUGGGUGAAGAAGGCCUUCGGGUUGUAAAGCCCUUUUGUUGGGAAAGAAAAGCAGCAGGUUAAUACCCCGCUGUUCUGACGGUACCCAAAGAAUAAGCACCGGCUAACUUCGUG
rnacentral:rRNA from 1 species